CAGGUAGAGGCGCGAUGUCUAAGAGUAGCACGGCAAAAGGGGUUUCCGCCCCCGUGUGAAAGGAGCUGUCGCCGAGGGUAUACGGUACGGAAUUUGCCGUGUAUGCCGGUAUGUCAGAGAAUAUCUGCCGUACUGUCACUUAAAAGUGGAGAGCUAUC
rnacentral:ncRNA from 1 species